rnacentral:rRNA from 1 species
CCUACGGGUGGCAGCAGUGAGGAAUAUUGGUCAAUGGACGCAAGUCUGAACCAGCCAUGCCGCGUGCAGGAAGACGGCACUAUGAGUUGUAAACCGCUUUUGUACGAGGGCAAACGCAGAUACGCGUACCUGUCUGAAAGUAUCGUACGAAUAAGCAUCGGCUAACUCCGUGCCAGCAGCCGCGGUAAUACGGAGGAUUCAAGCGUUAUCCGGAUUUAUUGGGUUUAAAGGGUGCGUAGGCGGUCCGUUAAGUCAGUGGUCAAAUUGAGGGGCUCAACCCCUGCCCGCCAUUGAAACUGGCGUUCUUGAGUGGGAGAGAAGUAUGCGGAAUGCGUGGUGUAGCGGUGAAAUGCAUAGAUAUCGCGCAGAACCCCGAUUGCGAAGGCAGCAUGCCGGCUUCCGACUGACGCUGAGGCACGAAAGUGUGGGUAUCGAACAGGAUUAGAUACCCCUGUAGUC